GACGAACGCUGGCGGCGUGCCUAAUACAUGCAAGUAGGACGCAGUUGCGAACGGGUGAGUAACGCGUAGGUAACUGCCUAUUAGAGGGGGAUAACUAUUGGAAACGCUAGCUAAUACCGCAUACUAGUAGAUGGACCUGCGUUGUAUUAGUUAGUAGGAAGGGUAAUGGCCUACCUAGGCAACGCUACAUAGCCGACCCUGUAGGGUGAUCGGCCACACUGGGACUGAGACACGGCCCAGACUCCUACGGGAGGCAGCAGUAGGGAAUCUUCGGCAAUUGGGGGAACCCUGACCGAGCAACGCCGCGUGAGUGAAUAAGGUUUUCGGAUCGUAAAGCUCUGUUGUUAAGGAAGCGUUACUUAACCAGAAAGGGACGGCUAACUACGUGCCAGCAGCCGCGGUAAUAC
rnacentral:rRNA from 1 species